rnacentral:rRNA from 1 species
GACGAACGCUGGCGGCGUGCCUAACACAUGCAAGUCGAGCGCUGAAGGUUGGUACUUUUACCGACUGGAUGAGCAGCGCACGGGUGAGUAACGCGUGGGGAAUCUGCCUUUGAGCGGGGGACAACAUUCGGAAACGAAUGCUAAUACCGCAUAAAAACUUUAAACACAAGUUUUAAGUCUGAAAGAUGCAAUUGCAUCACUCAAAGAUGAUUCCGCGUUGCAUUAGCUAGUUGGUGAGGUAAAGGCUCACCAAGGCGAUGAUACAUAGCCGACCUGAGAGGGUGAACGACCACAAUGGGACUGAGACACGGCCCCAAACCCUUCGGGAGGCAGCAGUAGGGAAACAUCGGACAAGGACGAAAGGCUGAACGAGGAAAGGCGCGUGGGUGAAGGAGGGUUUCGGGUCGUUAAACUCUGUUGGUAGAGGAGGAAGUUGGUGAGAGUAGAAAGCUCAUCAAGUGACGGUAACUGCACAGAAAGGGACGGCUAACUACGUG